AUGGGGGGCGGUGUGGGGGACCGGCGCCGGUCCUAGCCGGGCCUCAACCGGCCCCCAUACCCUUUAGUCUAAAAGUUAUCUACGGCAACCACGAAGACGCCGUACGCCGUCAGAUCUGCCACGAAGUCGAACAACAUUUGAUUGUUUUCAGGAUCAGUAAUUUGAUUAUGAAGUGGUAACUGCUCAGUUGGAGGUACAAGAAUCUGAGAUUUGCAUCUGAUUUUGGGGGUUUAUGUGAGAUUUGCAUUUGAUUUUGGGGGUUUAUGUGAAGAUGAAGGUGCAGGUGUUUAAGCUACUAGCGUGCUAGGGAAGCGAGGCAAUAAUAAGCUUCUAGGAGCCAGUGACCUUAGGACAGUGUCCACGUAACUGCUCCAGGGCCAUAAUUAUCUGUAGAUCUUGUACUGGCACCUGUAGUCAGUAAGAUUUACAGUUAGCCGUCUAGAAGUCUUAAAACAAUAUUUAAUUCGGUCUGUAAUAACUAAGAAUUUGAGUUGUCGGAACAGUUCCCAUAUUGUUU
rnacentral:lncRNA from 1 species